AGUGAACGCUGGCGGUAGGCCUAACACAUGCAAGUCGAACGGCAGCACAGUAAGAGCUUGCUCUUACGGGUGGCGAGUGGCGGACGGGUGAGGAAUACAUCGGAAUCUACUUUUUCGUGGGGGAUAACGUAGGGAAACUUACGCUAAUACCGCAUACGACCUACGGGUGAAAGCAGGGGAUCUUCGGACCUUGCGCGAUUGAAUGAGCCGAUGUCGGAUUAGCUAGUUGGCGGGGUAAAGGCCCACCAAGGCGACGAUCCGUAGCUGGUCUGAGAGGAUGAUAAGCCACACUGGAACUGAGACACGGUCCAGACUCCUACGGGAGGCAGCAGUGGGGAAUAUUAGACAAUGGGCGCAAGCCUGAUCCAGCCAUACCGCGUGGGUGAAGAAGGCCUUCGGGUUGUAAAGCCCUUUUGUUGGGAAAGAAAAGCAGCAGGUUAAUACCCCGCUGUUCUGACGGUACCCAAAGAAUAAGCACCGGCUAACUUCGUG
rnacentral:rRNA from 1 species